rnacentral:rRNA from 1 species
GACGAACGCUGGCGGCGUGCUUAACACAUGCAAGUCGAACGAAGAGCGAUGGAAGCUUGCUUCUAUCAAUCUUAGUGGCGAACGGGUGAGUAACGCGUAAUCAACCUGCCCUUCAGAGGGGGACAACAGUUGGAAACGACUGCUAAUACCGCAUACGAUCUAAUCUCGGCAUCGAGGAUAGAUGAACGGUGGCCUCUACAUGUAAGCUAUCACUGAAGGAGGGGAUUGCGUCUGAUUAGCUAGUUGGAGGGGUAACGGCCCACCAAGGCGAUGAUCAGUAGCCGGUCUGAGAGGAUGAACGGCCACAGUGGGACUGAGACACGGCCCAGACUCCUACGGGAGGCAGCAGUGGGGAAUCUUCCGCAAUGGACGAAAGUCUGACGGAGCAACGCCGCGGGAGUGAUGACGGCCUUCGGGUUGUAAAGCUCUGUUAAUCGGGACGAAAGGCCUUCUUGCGAAUAGUGAGAAGGAUUGACGGUACCGGAAUAGAAAGCCACGGCUAACUACGUG